rnacentral:rRNA from 1 species
GAUGAACGCUGGCGGCGUGCCUAAUACAUGCAAGUCGAGCGAACGGACGAGAAGCUUGCUUCUCUGAUGUUAGCGGCGGACGGGUGAGUAACACGUGGAUAACCUACCUAUAAGACUGGGAUAACUUCAGGAAACCGUAGCUAAUACCGGAUAAUAUUUUGAACCGCAUGGUUCAAAAGUGAAAGACGGUCUUGCUGUCACUUAUAGAUGGAUCCGCGCUGCAUUAGCUAGUUGGUAAGGUAACGGCUUACCAAGGCAACGAUGCAUAGCCGACCUGAGAGGGUGAUCGGCCACACUGGAACUGAGACACGGUCCAGACUCCUACGGGAGGCAGCAGUAGGGAAUCUUCCGCAAAGGGCGAAAGCCUGACGGAGCAACGCCGCGUGAGUGAUGAAGGUCUUCGGAUCGUAAAACUCUGUUAUUAGGGAAGAACAUAUGUGUAAGUAACUGUGCACAUCUUGACGGUACCUAAUCAGAAAGCCACGGCUAACUACGUG